CAAGAUGUCUUGCUUCUUCGGAAUUUGUUUUAUACAAAGCUCACAGACAUGAAGUUACAAUUUGUAAUUAUGAAGCCAGAGCAAAUCCUGCUGACAAUAAAACAACAUUCUUGAACUCUGUCAAUCACAUAAUCUCAUGAAGUCUGAGUUAGAAUAAGUCCUUUGGUUUGUCAAAUAUGUCUUUAAUUUAUAAACUAAAUAUGAACAAUGGCCUUUAAAAUUUAUAUUAAUUUAUUUAUUUGCUGUUUUGUUUGGUGCAUAUUAUUGAAAACUGUUGUUAAUGCUCAAGACAUCACACUUAACAAUCACAUUACUCCUUUCAAGAUGGGAGAAUUGUGUGGACAUAUAGUGGAGACAUUAAUAAAGUUACUUCUCAA